rnacentral:rRNA from 1 species
GUGGGGAAUAUUGCGCAAUGGGCGAAAGCCUGACGCAGCGACGCCGCGUGGGUGAUGAAGGCCUUCGGGUCGUAAAGCCCUGUCGGGAGGGACGAAACAUCGACGGCCCAAUACGCCGCCGACCUGACGGUACCUCCUAAGGAAGCACCGGCUAACUCCGUGCCAGCAGCCGCGGUAAUACGGAGGGUGCAAGCGUUGUUCGGAAUCACUGGGCGUAAAGCGCGUGUAGGCGGCCUUCUAAGUCUGGUGUGAAAGCCCGGGGCUCACCCCCGGAAGUGCACUGGAUACUGGAUGGCUAGAGUACCGGAGAGGAGGGUGGAAUUCCUGGUGUAGCGGUGAAAUGCGUAGAUAUCAGGAAGAACACCGGUGGCGAAGGCGGCCCUCUGGACGGAUACUGACGCUGAGACGCGAAAGCGUGGGGAGCAAACAGGAUUAGAAACCCGGGUAGUCC